GGAGCUAAUCCCUUAAAGCUACUCUCAGUUCGGAUUGUAGGCUGAAACUCGCCUACAUGAAGCUGGAGUUACUAGUAAUCGCAGAUCAGAAUGCUGCGGUGAAUGCGUUCCCGGGUCUUGUACACACCGCCCGUCACACCACGGGAGUUGGAGACGCCCGAAGCCGAUUAUCUAACCUUUUGGAAGAAGUCGUCGAAGGUGGAAUUAAUAACUGGGGUGAAGUCGUAACAAGGUAGCCGUAUCGGAAGGUGCGGCUGGAUCACCUCCUUU
rnacentral:rRNA from 1 species